ensembl:lncRNA
UUUUUUUUUUUUUUUUAACUGAUUUUGUUCAUCAAUAUACAUGCAUAAAUACUUUUUUUUUUUUUUUUUUUACUGAUUUUGUUCAUCAAUAUACAUAGAUAAAUACUUUUUUUUUUUUUUUUUUUAACUGAUUUUGUUCAUCAAUAUACAUGCAUAAAUACUUUUUUUUUUUUUUUUACUGAUUUUGUUCAUCAAUAUACAUGCAUAAAUACUUUAUUUUUUAUUUUUUUUAAACUGAUUUUGUUUAUCAAUAUACAUGCAAUAAUACUUUUUUUUUAACUGAUUUAAGUGUUACAGGCCAAAAGAGAAAAAGAUUGUAUGAGCAUAUUGGUAACCUCGACCGGUUAAGCAAAAAAGGCAGGAAAGUCAUUGGCGAGACUUGUUAGGUGCUGACUAAGACUGUAGAUGAGCCAUUAAGUGCUUGAAGUGUUACAGGCCAAAAGAAAAAAAUAAUGUAUGAGCAUAUUGGUAACCUCGACCGGUUAAGCAAAAAAGGCAGGAAAGUCAUUGGCUAGCCUUGUUAGGUGCUGACUAAGACUGUAGAUGAGCCAUUAAGUGUUUGAAGUGUUAAAGGCCAAAAUAGAAAAAAAUAGUACGAGCAUAUUGGUAACCUCGACCGGUUAAGCAAAAAAGGCAGGAAAGUCAUUGGCUAGCCUUGUUAGGUACUGACUAAGAUUGUAGAUGAGCCAUUAAGUGUUUGAAGUGUUACAGGCCAAAAUAGAAAAAAAUAGUACUUUUUUUUUUACUGAUUUUGUUUAUUAAUACACAUGCAUUAAUACUUUUUUUUUUCAACUGAUUUAAGUGUUACAGGCCAAAAGAGAAAAAGAUUGUAUGAGCCAAUGUAACCUCGACCGGUUAAGCAAAAAAGGCAGGAAAGUCAUUGGCUAGCCUUGUUAGGUACUGACUAAGACUGUAGAUGAGCCAUUAAGUGUUUGAAGUGUUACAGGCCAAAAUAGAAAAAAAUAGUAAGAGCAUAUUGGUAACUUUGACCGGUUAAGCAAAAAAGGCAGGAAAGUCAUUGGCUAGCUUUGUUAGGUCCUGACUUGGACUGUAGUUAAGCCUUUAAGUGUUUGAAGUGUUACAGGCCAAAAGAAAAAAAAAUUGUAUGAGCAUAUUGGUAACCUCGACCGGUUAAGCAAAAAAGGCAGGAAAGUCAUUGGCGAGACUUGUUAGGUGCUGACUAAGACUGUAGAUGAGCCAUUAAGUGCUUGAAGUGUUACAGGCCAAAAGAAAAAAAUAAUGUAUGAGCAUAUUGGUAACCUCGACCGGUUAAGCAAAAAAGGCAGGAAAGUCAUUGGCUAGCCUUGUUAGGUGCUGACUAAGACUGUAGAUGAGCCAUUAAGUGUUUGAAGUGUUACAGGCCAAAAUAGAAA